rnacentral:rRNA from 1 species
CCUACGGGAGGCAGCAGUGGGGAAUAUUGCGCAAUGGGCGAAAGCCUGACGCAGCGACGCAGCGUGAGGGAUGAAGGCCUUCGGGUUGUAAACCUCUUUCAGCGGGGACGAAGCGAAAGUGACGGUACCCGCAGAAGAAGCACCGGCUAACUACGUGCCAGCAGCCGCGGUAAUACGUAGGGUGCAAGCAUUGUCCGGAUUUAUUGGGCGUAAAGAGCUCGUAGGCGGCUUGUCACGUCGGGUGUGAAAACUUGGGACUCAACCCCAAGCCUGCACUCGAUACGGGCUAGCUAGAGUGUUGCAGGGGAGACUGGAAUUCCUGGUGUAGCGGUGAAAUGCGCAGAUAUCAGGAGGAACACCGGUGGCGAAGGCGGGUCUCUGGGCAACUACUGACGCUGAGGAGCGAAAGCGUGGGGAGCGAACAGGAUUAGAUACCCUGGUAGUCCACGCCGUAAACGGUGGGCGCUAGGUGUGGGGAACCUUCCACGUUCUCUGUGCCGCNGCUACGACAUAGCGCCCGCCGUCGGGAGGUACGGCCGGCCGACGGACGUAAACGUUAAACGGUAAAGUUAGUACGGCGUUGUAGACGUUGCCGACGGCGACGACGAGGGAGGAGG